rfam:Angiostrongylus costaricensis strain Costa Rica genome assembly, scaffold: ACOC_scaffold0002422
UCCUCUCUAGAAUAGUGGUUAGUAUCCGCGUCUGCCACAUGCGAGACCCGGGUUCAAUUCCCGGCCGGGGAG